rnacentral:lncRNA from 1 species
CUGUGUACACAGGUCAUUUCUUAGGGAGUAUUCUCAAGAACAAUACCUACAAGGAAGUGAGGGAAGAAGAUGGAUGGGCCAGAGAGAAGUUGAACUCAGAUGUGUUUGCAACUGAGGCCUCAGCUGAUCACAGAAGGAGCAGGGGCUCUAGAAAGUUCAAUGAUAUUCUGUAUUGAGAAACAUGUGCCUCCUUGCCUGCGAAGUCUCUCUCCUGCACCCGAGAGCAGCCGAGAAAUGUGAGCAAGUUAAAGCCCCAGGGACAGCUAACAAAAAAAAAUGGGAGAUUGGAUGACUCACUGUGCCAGCUAGCCUUGAAGAUGGCUCCUAAUGACCCUUGCCUCUUGGUAAAUAUGUUCUCUAUAUUCCCCUCUCAUGUUAAUUAGGGCUGAUUGGUGUAGUCAACAGGAUACUAAUGAAGUGAUAUUGUGUGACUUUUGAUCAUAUGUCAUUAAAGAUAUCAAGGCUUCAGCAUUGGCCUCUCUUGUAUCACUUGUUCUGGGGAAAGCCAGUUGCCAUUUAAUGAAAUUAUCUAAUCAGUCC